AGGGGAUGAAAUGUUUCACAGAAACAGUUUUGAUUGUUGUGUAUUCCAUUGGAACUGCAGGCAUUCAUCCCAGAGUAAACUAUUUCCAGACUGGAACUCUGUGCGACUACAUUGAAGCUUAUGCAGUCGCAUCGUUCUUCCAGCUACAUUC
rfam:Drosophila mojavensis strain TSC#15081-1352.22 Ctg01_11426, whole genome shotgun sequence.